AUUUAUUAAUAAUAUUUUAAAAUUAAUUGAUUAAAUAAUAUAAUUAAUUAAAAUAUGUUUUAAUACAUUCGUUUUAUUUUUGACAAAAUUGAAUGUACCUGUGGUUUGUGAGCUUGAUUUAUCCAACUUUAUGUAAUUUGUGAACACAAAAAAAAAAAAUACGAGAAGUCUGUGUAUUAUUACGUGCAUCUUCUUGUUCUUAUGAAGAUUCGUACAUAAAGUGUCAUAGAAAGUUCUUAUAUAUUUUGUGAAGAUUAUUAUUGGUGAGUAUUUAUUAAAUCAUUAUUAAAACUAAUUAAAUGUGAUGAUAAUCAAUCAUGCAUGUCGGACCAACCACGCGCGUGCAUUUGUGUACACUUCAUUAUUGUAUCUCUGCGAAAAUUACAAUAUCUAUAGUUAUUUUAUAGCCUUUUCAAAGAUGUUGUUAUUAAAAACGAAUAUUAACUAUACGGUAAUGUACACAUACGUAUAAAAAUAAUUAUUGUCUGUCAAAAAAAUAUUAGAUUCGCGGAAAGUUAACGUUUCUUUUAAUUUUAAAAGGCGCAGAAAUAUUCUAUAUACUAACCCUGAAGCCUGCAUGUGAAAAUGGCACUUAACUCAUCUGAUAUGGUUUAGAAAAAUGUUUUCCAUGGAAGAAGAAAAGGACAAUUCGAAGAAGAUGAAUUUCUUUCGUACCGCAGAAUACUGUAUACGCAAUCUGAAACACAGAUUAUUUUCAAUAUAAUUUUCAUUCUGAUUUAUUCUAUAAAUGAGAAAAGAAUAUUAAAUAUUUUGCUUUUUCAUAAUCUUUUUUUUUUGUUUUGAAAAGAUUGAUGAUUUAUUGAAAAUAUAUCUUUUAAUGAAAGAUAUUUGCAAUGAUAUGUUUGCCUAAAUUAUAUUUUUAUUUUUUUAUUACGUGUUAAUUUAAUUAAUUUUAUCUAUGUUAUUAAUUUAAUUUUCAAUAGAUAUAAAAAAUUGUUUCAGAUUGACGCACGAAUUGUACAUAUUAUAGUCGGUUCUAACUAAAAAAGAAGCACAAAUUAUAAAACAUAUAUUAUAAUAUAUGAAUUUUUAAUUAUUA